rnacentral:rRNA from 1 species
AACGAACGUUAGCGGCGCGCCUAAGACAUGCAAGUCGAGCGAGAAAGGGCUUCGGCCCCGGUAAAGCGGCGCACGGGUGAGUAACACGUAGGUCAUCAACCCUCGAGUGGUGGAUAACCCUCCGAAAGGAGGGCUAAUACAGCAUGAUGCUAGCAAUAGCCAAAGCGAGCCUCUUCACGAAAGCCCGCGCUGGAGGAUGAGCCUGCGGCCCAUCAGGUAGUUGGCGGAGUAACAGCCCACCAAGCCUAAGACGGGUAGCUGGUCUGAGAGGAUGAACAGCCACACUGGAACUGAGACACGGUCCAGACUCCUACGGGAGGCAGCAGUCGGGAAUCUUCCGCAAUGGGCGAAAGCCUGACGGAGCGACGCCGCGUGAGCGAUGAAGGCCUUCGGGUUGUAAAGCUCUGUGGGGAGGGAAGAAUAAGCGCAGGCCAAUACCCAGCGCGAUGACGGUACCUCCUUAGCAAGCACCGGCUAACUCUGUGCCAGCCGCCGCGGUAAAAC